GGUAGGCAGAGAGAAAGGCAGGCAGACGGGAAGGUAGGCAGAGAGAAAGGCAGGCAGACAGGAAGGUAGGCAGAGAGAAAGGCAGGCAGACAGGAAGGUAGGCAGAGAGAAAGGCAGGCAGACAGGAAGGUAGGCAGAGAGAAAGGCAGGCAGACAGGAAGGUAGGCAGAGAGAAAGGCAGGCAGACAGGAAGGUAGGCAGAGAGAAAGGCAGGCAGACAGGAAGGUAGGCAGAGAGAAAGGCAGGCAGACAGGAAGGUAGGCAGAGAGAAAGGCAGGCAGACAGGAAGGUAGGCAGAGAAGAAGGCAAGCAGAGAGAAAGGCAGGCAGGCAGGAAGGUAGGCAGAGAUGAAGGCAAGCAGAGAAAAAGGCAGGCAGUAAGUAGACAGAAGUAGGUAAACAGGCAGGCAUUCACCCGUUCGUCAAAAGUAUAUAGUGAGGAAGAUUAGCUUUGGAAUCUGAAUGCUCGCUAGGAUGGUGAUGGUGGUGUGUGUGGGACUCUGGGGACACCACUGAAAUCUCCACUGCCCCACACAUCAUCAAAGGGGCUAUUACACUGGGCAAAUUUUCCGUGGAUGUUCAGUCAAACCACGAUUUCCGCUGGUGUGGUUCUUAUAUUCCCUGGUUUUCUGACGUGUCCACGAUCUUCCAAAGCUACGGUAGAUUUCACUAAAGGACGACGGUAUUACUCACCAUUAUCAUCAGCAAUAACAAGAAACAAAUGAAAACCACGCUUGCAGAAAUCGUGGUUUGACUGAACAUCCACGGAAAAUUUGUCCAGUGUAAUAGCCCCUAUUUAUUCUAUCUCUUCCCUGCCCCAGCUUCUAGUUUCUCCUCGCCUUCGCUCGCCUGCCGUUUCCUUUGUUACCUUUCUGUUCAGCUUUCAUCAUCACAUUUUUUUUUCAUCGU